CAAAUAAAUAAGAGUAUAAUCCCAUUAUUGCCCAGUUUUGUAAAUUAUACUGAGCACUUGAAUGCUGAGAUUAGAAAGAAAAUAUGAAUUUUACAAAUAUUUUAAAAGUUACUGAAAAUUUCCUUUGAAGCAUACUUGUGGGUAAAUUUAAAUAUUAAUAUGAAAUGUAAUUGAGGACCUCUCACAUCAUCAUGAUGCCCCCUUAGUACCAAACAUAAAGCCUACCAGGCUAGAUUUUUAAGUAUUUCUUGUAUUGAAUUAGGUGUCUAGAGCUAAAAAGAUAUUUUAUCUAUACAUAGAAAUCUUUACAUGAAAUUAUAGUUAUAACCAAGAAAAUGGUAAUGUUACAUAAAUAAAAAGAACCAAUAUAGCACUUUAGAUCAGAAAGAAGUUAAGCUUUUCUUAAAGGAAAUAACAGCUGUUCAAGAAAUAAUAUUCCAGAGGUUUGUAUUUACAUCACACUUUGAAAAUGUUUGUUUUUGGUUUAAACAUUACCAAAACUAAUAUUACUGUCAUCAAAGCAGUAUGUGACAGUAGUUAGGUAUCCAAAGGUACAUAUUCCUUAGUGUGAUCUAACUACAUAUCUGAAUGGGAUUUUGAUGCUUUAAUAAAUCUGGUCCAAACUCUUUUUCUAAAUUGAAUAAACCAAUUUUGACUGCUCACACACCUACUGUCAUAAUUCAGAAUUCCCAGUUGUACUCUUCAGAUUCCAAUUUGAUAAAACUGAUGUGUAAAAUAAUACUAACCUGGUAAAGUUCCACAGUAGCUUUUGCUCACUGUGGUCAUUGUUAAUUCAAUGGGUAGUUGUUCUCAGCUCUCCUCUUUUCCCUCCAUUGUUCUCUACCAGUCAAAGCUGUGUAGACACUGACACUACUAUUUAAAAUGUAGUAAAUAAUGAAAUCUCUUAAAUCCUGAGUCAUGGGCUGAGAAACAGUAGAGAAGAGGAUGUUCACAAAAUGGAAGAAAGCAUGUUAGCCAAAAUCAUUCCCCAAAAUAAACUAUCAUAUUUCCCUAAUUGAAUCUUGGUUCAGAUUUUAAUAGUGCUAUAUUGAAAAGUAUUUAAACCCAUAUCCUUCCAUUCCACACAAAACAAAUAUAUUACCAACUUUCCAAAUUACACUGGCUCAUGG
rnacentral:lncRNA from 1 species